GAUGAAGAACGCAGCGAAAUGCGAUAAUUAAUGUGAAUUGCAGAAUUCAGUGAAUCAUCGAAUCUUUGAACGCACAUUGCGCCCCCUGGUAUUCCGGGGGGCAUGCCUGUCCGAGCGUCAUUACAACCCUCAAGCUCAGCUUGGUGUUGGGCCCCGCCGCCCCGGCGGGCCCUAAAGUCAGUGGCGGUGCCGUCCGGCUCCGAGCGUAGUAAUUCUUCUCGCUCUGGAGGUCCGGUCGUGUGCUCGCCAGCAACCCCCAAUUUUUUUCAGGUUGACCUCGGAUCAGGUAGGGAUACCCGCUGAACUUAAGCAUAUCAAUAAGCGGAGGA
rnacentral:misc_RNA from 1 species